GGGGAAUUUUGGACAAUGGGGGAAACCCUGAUCCAGCCAUCCCGCGUGUGCGAUGAAGGCCUUCGGGUUGUAAAGCACUUUUGGCAGGAAAGAAACGUCGCGGGUUAAUACCCCGCGGAACUGACGGUACCUUCAAAGGAAGCACCGGCUAACUCCGUGCCAGCAGCCGCGGUAAUACGGAGGGUGCAAGCGUUAAUCGGAAUUACUGGGCGUAAAGCGCACGUAGGCUGCUUUGUAAGUCAGGGGUGAAAUCCCACGGCUCAACCGUGGAACUGCCUUUGAUACUGCUUAGCUUGAAUCCGGGAGAGGGUGGCGGAAUUCCAGGUGUAGGAGUGAAAUCCGUAGAUAUCUGGAGGAACAUCAGUGGCGAAGGCGGCCACCUGGACCGGUAUUGACGCUGAGGUGCGAAAGCGUGGGGAGCAAACA
rnacentral:rRNA from 1 species